AUUGAACGCUGGCGGCAUGCCUUACACAUGCAAGUCGGACGGCAGCACGGGAGCAAUCCUGGUGGCGAGUGGCGAACGGGUGAGUAAUAUAUCGGAACGUGCCCAGUCGUGGGGGAUAACGUAGCGAAAGCUACGCUAAUACCGCAUACGAUCUAUGGAUGAAAGCGGGGGAUCGCAAGACCUCGCGCGAUUGGAGCGGCCGAUAUCAGAUUAGGUAGUUGGUGAGGUAAAGGCUCACCAAGCCGACGAUCUGUAGCUGGUCUGAGAGGACGACCAGCGACUCUGGGACUGAGACACGGACCAGACUCCUACGGGAGGCGGCAGCUGGGAAUUUUGGACAAUGGGCGCAAGCCUGAUCCGGCAAUGCCGCGUGCAGGAUGUAGGCCUGCGGGUUGUAAACUGCUUUUGUACGGAGCGAAACGGCGAGCUCUAAUACAGUUUGCUAAUGACGGUACCGUAAGAAUAAGCACCGGCUAACUACGUGCCAGCAGCCGCCGUAA
rnacentral:rRNA from 1 species